AAAUCUUCUUCUUCCUCUGUCUAAAAUUUAUCUGAAUUCAAUUGCUGGUUAUAAUUGAUACAAUCACAAAUCCAAAUCAAUAAACCCAGAUCAACAAGAUGAAACAUAUCAGUUCAAUUGCGGCGUUUCUAGAAGUGAUUAUCAUGUCGUGCUGAUGAAUCUCAACCUCAGCCAAUCAACCGAUACUGCUUCCCACUUGACUUCGCUGCUUCUUCACAUGAGGAAACCCUAGAAGUGAAAUCUCAACCUCAGGGUCAAAGCUGCCUCUUAAAUGGGUCAAAAUUGUCUAAGAAAGUGGCUGCCUAUCAAUAUGGAGCAACAAAGGUGGAUACUGAUCUUGCUGGCUAACGGUUCUGGGAGCGAAAAGGAGAUCAAAAGGCCAUCGUAUGGCUUCAUUAUCGUACAUGGGAAAUUUGAGAUGAAUCUGAUUGAUGAACAAAAUCUCAGUUUACAGCAAUUUGUAGAAUCCUUAACCCUCUGUUUUCUUGAUGUGGACUGUCAAAAAAAAGUCACAAAUCCGGAUUGAGAAUAAAGUUCACGAUUACAUGAACUCACAAGCCAAAUUCGAAGACAAGAUGUGGGCGAAUCUGAAUGUCUGGCUGAUUGAAGAUCAACUAUGGAUAAUCUUUCUAGAGUCACUCACAAGAUGAAAGAUAUUGACAUCGACAUCCAGAUGGAUAGUCAGUUCUAAUGACACGUUGAAUUAUCGACACAAUGUAACCAGUAAGGUCAAAGAAAGAAGUGCAUCGUCGGGUCAGUUGAGCAAUGAGGAAAAGCCGAAUCGUCAAGAGAAUAAAAACCCAGAUGUCAAAGUUCAAAAGCCGAAAGAUGAAGCUUCGGAAACACUUCAAAAAGAGCAUAAAUGGUGAUUACACGGCGGAGCCGCCGGUUCAGAACAUAGUGGCUAAGGAUGUUCACGGGAAGUUGUGGAAGUUCCAGCAUAUUUACCGGGGUACGCCUCGCAGGCAUCUCUUGACAACUGGUUGGAGUAAUUUUGUCAACCAGAAGACGUUGGUGGCGGGUGAUUUGAUCGUGUUUUUGAGGGCGGAUAAUGGCGAUUUUUGUGUGGGGAUUCGAAGGGCGAAGAGGGAUUUCGGAAGGGGGUUUGUCGAGUCGAAUUGUUCCUGGUGGAAUGCUGCGAUUAGCGGGUUUGGGAAUUCCGGGAAGGUGAGUGAUACGGGUAAAUGAUCGAUGGUUUAGAUGGCAGUGGAUGGAGAUGUUGUUAGGAAUCAGUGGAUCCAUCAACAGUGGAUGAACAACAGAGGUUGUUAAUAACAGUGGAUUAGCAGCAGAGGUGGUUAGCUAACAGUGGAUCAACAACAGAGGUUGUUAGUUAACAGGGGUUAGCAGCAGAGGUUGUUAGUUAACAGGGGUUAGCAGCAGAGGUUGUUAGUUAACAGGGGUUAGCAGAGGUUGUUAAUAACAGUGGAUCAGCAACAGAGGUUGUUAGUUAACAAGGGUUAGCAACAGAGGUUGUUAGUUAACAGGGGUUAGCAACAGAGGUUGUUAAUAACAGUGGAUUAGCAGCAGAGGUGGUUAGCUAACAGUGGAUCAGCAACAGAGGUUGUUAGUUAACAGGGGUUAGCAACAGAGGUUGUUAGUUAACAGGGGUUAGCAACAGAGGUUGUUAGUUAGUUGGGGUUAGCAACAGAGGUUUGUGUGGAGAAUCGUAUGCAACUGUUGUUUAAUGUUUUUGAUUUAAUUCGCUGUUCAUGUUGUUUGAGAGCACCAAUGGGAAAUUGUCGGACUAGAGGCGGAGUUGUCCGCGGGAAAAGAGAUUCUGGUGUACCCAAUGAGACUGGUGAGUAAGAUUCAGAAGUCGUCUUCUUCUCCAAUGGCUAUCUAGGUUGAUUUCUGUUACAGAUUGGGGUUUUUCAGUGUUUUUGAUAGAAGGUCAUUUAUUGAUCGGUUGCUGCGUUCUCAUAUUUUCGAAGUCGUUACACUUUGCGCAGGUACCAUUUCCGUUUUAUCUUCUGUUGCUUACAAUCACCAUUCUGAAAUCAUACAUGAUGAUUUCAACGACAAUUAACAUUCUUAGCGGUUAUGAUUGUGCUUCUUCUCACUGGUUAUUGUCAUUCGGAAACAUGAAGUGGCUGUACUACUGUAGUAAAGAUGCUUGGAAGUAUACCACAAUGAAACAUGAUGAAUACCACCUGUCAUAUCUUUCCGAAUCUCUACUUCGGUUUUCACAUCAUCAUAAAAGUCGACAUAUAUAUUUUUAUGGGUUGCAGAUGGAUUUUCAUAACACUGGAAGUGGGCCGAGUUCCUAGAUUAACAGAGGCCUUUGGUUUCACUAUUUCUUGAAUGAAAAAUGGAAGUGUCUUUGCAGAUCUAUGCAAAAGGAAGAAAAACAUGAGCACCCUCAUGUACCCUCCAUUUAAAAUCUGCGUAAAUGAUAGCAAGAUACUUCGAAAAUCUGGUGAGGGCACUAGAGAAUGGUCUUGCGGAUUUUGACUCGCACGAGGGUGCAGCAGGUGGUUCAAGUAGCAAGGUUAAAGUGCAGCAGGUGGCAUCAUGGAAGCCCUCAAAUUGGAAUCUAGUCCGAGAGUUGUGCCUAUGUCGUUUGUCACAACGUCUGGCCCGUUUUGCUGUUUUUGUCCAUGAGUUAUGGGCCCUGUAAGACGAGUAUGCCUAUCGCAAAUGUGUGCAAAGGUGGUGCAACGAGUAGGGAAACACCAUAUGCGAAAUUUGCCUCGAGCCAUUCAAGCCCGGAUAUACAUCACCACCUCCGUUAUUCCAUUGUGAUGGCAUUCCAAUGAAUUUCAGGGGUAAUUGGGAGAUUUCCGGUCGGGAUCUAUACAGUUUGCGGGUUUCAUCAAUGGGUUAUGCUGGUGAUGAUGAACCCAACUUUGAUGAGUAUAUCACUCUUAGCUCCAAAAGUUUGAUUUGUUGCUGUGUACUUGCUAUAAUUUUUAUGACUCUUCUCGUAUUGCGCCACGCUCUACCGAUCAUCAUCAAUGGAACACGAGGAUACACUGUAACCAUUUUUGGGUUAGUCUUGAUGUUGCGGGUUAUUACGGGUCAAGUACGGGUCGAGUUGGUUGACCGUUUAGUUUAAAUGGGUCACCAAGAAUAAGGCGGGUCAUCGGAGCAUGAUUACGGUUGCAGGUUUGAAUGGAUCAGGUCCAACUAAAGGUCAAGAGAUGUGUGGAUCUGAGUCAUGGUGGACGUUGAGGAUGACCGAGUCUUUUGGAAGCGCACGUGUGAUGCAAGUUACAAGUUGAACGUGGAGUGGUGGAGUUAAGUGUUUAUAGCAUAUUGCAAAAUUUCAUGUCAAUGAUUCAUGGCUGACUUCUUUUUCAGUUCCAAAGCCAAUCAACUGGAAUCGCAAACAACGAUCAUUCCAUCCCAGUUAUUUGUGUUACAAAUGAUGAAGAGUGGGAUCUCAAUAACAUUAAAGUUAACAAGGCCAGUUCCACCUCAAAUUAGGCCUUUGAAGCGGGUAACUCGAAAUAGAAGAACUGGGUUUUAUUUGACCUGUUUUAUGUUACAUCUGCAAUAGAAUCCGAUUUUGAUGUUAACCUUCCCGUUCACCGGACGGGUAAAGUACUAGCGAAGGUAAGGAGUCGAUGGUGUUGAAGAAGGUGGAUAGUCCGAAGCAAAAGCAGAAUUUGGGUGAGGUAACGAAAGUUGGGGGGAGGUGGAAGGCGCAAACGCCGGUUCACGAACAAUUUUACGUGCAAAAAAGAGCGGAAAAUGAAGUUGAAAAGAGGAGAUCGUAUCUACCAUAUAGAAAGGAUCUUGUAGGAUUGUUUGCAAAUGUCAACGGAAUGGGGAAAAUUCUUCCAUUCUAAUUUUGUUGUUAUGUAUCCUUUGUCAAGCAACUUGUGUCUUCAUGGAGUUGAGUUUACAUAGUUGACUUCUUUAGAAAGUCAAACUGUGUUCUCACUGAAGAAGAGUGGAUCUCGACACGAUGCUGGAUAUGAGGGUUUGGGGAUCCAGGGAGUAGUGUCGUCUACACGCCUCCAGCAUACCGAAAGAUCAGUGUAAACUCUACAGAUGGUGUUCUUUCAGAGGUUCACUUGAGUCUUGUCUGUCAGGUAUGAGAUGCAGGAUCUUCAUUUUGCGGAAACACUUCUUCAGAUGGUUACACUUUCUGAGGUUUACAUGGUAUAUGAGUAGCAGCAGCCGCCUCUACACUGCUGUUCUAAUUUAUUUGUUUGUCAUGGAUCAUGUUCGUUUCACAACAUUACAAUACCCAACCAGCGGGCCCGGACCCGGUAUAUAUGAGCAUGCUCUGUUGGUUUAGUAUAGAAAUCAUACAUGUUUGUUAUUAUAAUGUAAAGUUUGAAAGCCUAUUAAAUAGAAUGACAGGUUAUGUAAAGUUCA